GUCGAGCGGAUGAGUGGAGCUUGCUCUAUGAUUCAGCGGCGGACGGGUGAGUAAUGCCUAGGGAAUCUGCCUGGUAGUGGGGGAUAACGUUUCGAAAGGAACGCUAAUACCGCAUACGUCCUACGGGAGAAAGUGGGGGAUCUUCGGACCUCACGCUAUCAGAUGAGCCUAGGUCGGAUUAGCUAGUUGGUGGGGUAAUGGCCCACCAAGGCGACGAUCCGUAACUGGUCUGAGAGGAUGAUCAGUCACACUGGAACUGAGACACGGUCCAGACUCCUACGGGAGGCAGCAGUGGGGAAUAUUGGACAAUGGGCGAAAGCCUGAUCCAGCCAUGCCGCGUGUGUGAAGAAGGUCUUCGGAUUGUAAAGCACUUUAAGUUGGGAGGAAGGACAGUAAGUUAAUACCUUGCUGUUUUGACGUUACCAACAGAAUAAGCACCGGCUAACUUCGUGCCAG
rnacentral:rRNA from 1 species